rnacentral:rRNA from 1 species
AAACUACGAUUAGAUACCCUNUUAUUCUAAUCUAAGGGGGGUNGUAAAAUUUUUAGAAACCUAAAGAAUUUGGCGGCAGCCUAAAAAAUUAGAGGAACCUGUCUCGUAAUUGAUAGUCCACAUUUUAACUGACUUACAUAAAAGCUUAUAUACCGCCGUCAACAGGGGAUAUUAUAAGAUUACCCUCUUAAUUUUGAAGGAAAAAAUGUCAGGUCAAGGUGUAGUUAAUGUGUAAGGGAGGAUGGGUUACAAAAUUAAAAAGUAAAUGAAGUUCCCUUGUAAAAGGAGGAGGAAGGUGGAUUUAAAUGUAAUAUUUUUGAGAGGAAAUGUGAUUGAAAUCUAGGCUGUGCACACAUCGC